CAGAAGGGUCAGGUCAGGUGCACUCACCAGAGCUGACUGUGACUCUGCAUGUUUUGUGUCCCUGUUCUGGAAAUCCCUCUAAUGUCUUAGAAGAGCAACUCAUAAUGAAUUAAGAGCCAGGAGUGUCAAACCCUUGCAGUUUCUUACAAUAAACUUGAGAGAAGUAACUAUCACGGAACUGCAAACAUCAAGAUCCCCUUUCUGUCAGCCUUGUACUUUCUCAGACUAUCCAACAUGUACUGUUGUUAAACAUAAAUGGAAAGAGGACACCCAUCAGGAACACAAGAGAGGGUAAUUGAAGAGAUCUUGCUAAGGAGAAGAAUUUUCAUCACUUUUAUCUACUUUGAAGUUUCUUAUACUCAAUGAAAAAUGUCAGUAAAUGAGAAGUGGAAGCAAGAUA